UCUGUAAACAGGAGAGUACUCUUGAUGGACACUCACUGGGUCCGUUAGACUGGAGAAAUUUUUGUGGUAAUGUGACCAAAAAUAUUUAAG